CUUUAAUUGCAAGAUUUUGUGUAUUAUAUGAUAUGAAAUUUGUUCUUUUAUUUUUGAUGGUGUUCUGUAUAUAUAAGGGUUGAAUUUUGUUCUAUAUUUUUUAUGGUGUUCUGCACAAACAUCAGCCCUUUCUCCCCGUUCAAACCCGGAACGGUCUUAGCAUUAAGAGCAUUAAACAACUGGAGUGAUCCCAUCUGACCAGCCCCCAGUCCUGGCAGGUUGUAGUUUCUUGCUGUGUUUCCGAUAUAGAAGCCAGCAACACGAGUUUGGGGCAAACUCGCAUGAAAUGUGGCCCCUUACAAACAAAACACCCCCGUGGUGCAACCUUUCCUUUCUUCUUUUCAUCACACUCUUUCUACCAAGGACUUUGCUUGUUGCCAACGGGUUUGUAAUCAGCCUUAUAAUUAGGUUUCCAAGCAGGCCUGCCCCGCAGCUUGUCCUUUUUUCCCUCAUUCCCGCCUUUGCCAAAAUUUCCCUUGGCAGGUUUGGUUGGCUUUGCCUGCGUUUCAGCACUUCUCUGGAAUUCGGUUAACGACUCCGCCACAACAAUGGCUUCGUCCACUGUCUUAACUCUCCGACACUGUAGUUCCUGUCUUACCCAAUUUGCACAACCAUCCAAGAAAUAGAACAAUAACACAUCAUCAGGCAUGCUAGGAAUCUGGAGCAUGAGGGUCGUGAAUUCCUUGAUGUAUUCACGAAUGGUGCUCUUGUGCUUCAAUUCCCGCAGCUUCUUACGGGCCUCGUAUACAACAUUUUCAGUAUAAAACUGCCUCUUCAACUCUUUCUUAAACUUGUCCCAGGUAUCAACCUUGGACGCAACUUCAGCCAAUUUGUGUCUCCACCAUAACGCAGCUGUAUUCGAAAGGUACAUAGUUGCUGUUCGAACUUUCAUCCCUUCUUCUAAGAUAUUCACCCCCUCGAAAUAAACUUCCAUUUUCCACAAGAAAUUUUCCACAUCCUUCGCAUCUCGUUUUCCCUCAAACAUUUUUGGCUUAGGUUAUUUGAUUCUAGGAGCUGCAACAACUGCAGCAGUACCUCCACUCGACCCUGCAGUGGACUGCUUGUAUGAUAGGUACCUGGACUGAUCUGCAGAUUCCAAUAGCUGCUAAGUUGAAUCCCGAACUCGCGCUCAACCUGUUCACACCAAAGGGAGUUAUUAUUACCCACCUUCGGCUAUUGGAGACAGAAGAUAAAUGUGUUCUAAGGCCUGAAAUCUGAAUGAGAAAUGUAUUUUGAUUUAUUGAAAGCUAUGAUGAAAUUUGGAACAGCUCCAAGGCUUUUGAGAGGCCUGGACUCUCCCAAUGACUCCACUAAACACGUGAAUGCCCUCCCUUUACUCCCCCCCCCCCAAUACAUUUAUUCCCUCCCCAAACAUAGACUUUUUCCAAAAUUACCCCAAAUCUACUCACUGACUGAAUACAAAAUACCCGUUUUUCCAAAGUACCCCCAACCACUAACUAACUGAGACUGAAUUAGUUGCUGCGUUGUUGCCUCCAUCCUGCUCUUUCUUUCUUCUCUCAUAGGUGAGCUUGAUUGGGGGCCUAUCAUUACCCUCGCUCAAAAUCCACCUUGUCCUCAAGGUGGAAGUCCAGAAAUUGUUGACGGAUCAUUUCAGAGGGUUCCCAUGUUGCUUCAAUGGCUGGAAGAUCCUUCCAUUUGAUCAAUACUUCCUGUCCUGUGCUAGAAGAACUAGGCCUGACCUGUAGUACCACCUCUGGCUCCACCUGUAGCUGACCUUCUGCGGUGAGUUGUGGAGGCAAUUGGGAGAUGGUCUGGGCAGCCCCUACUGCUUUUCGGAGCUGUGACAUAUGAAAAACGGGGUGUAUUGCAGCUCCAAGCGGAAACUUCAAUUUAUAUGCCACUUGUCCUAUUCGUGCUUCAACUUCAAAUGGUCCAAAAUACCUUGGGGAUAGCUUGGCAUUUGGUUGAUGCACUACAGAUCUCUGCCGGUAAGGUCGAAGCUUGAGGUACACCAAUUCCCCCACCUCGAACUGAAUAUCACGGCGCUGCCUGUCCACCCUCUGUUUCAUUCUCUGCUGAGACCGUGUGAGCUGCGUCUUCAGCUCCUGGAGUAUCUCAUCCCUGGUCAUUAAGGACUGUUCCACUGAUGAUAGGACUGUCAUACCCUUCUCGAAUGGCAACACCAGGGGGGAUCCCGCUUAUAAACAAUUUGAAAAGGAGUAUGGUUAGUUGCUGUGUGAAAUGAAGUAUUAUACAAAUACUCAGCCCAAGGCAACCAUUGACCCCAUUACGUGGUCGGUUGUAGGAAAAACACCUCAAAUAUGUCUCCAAGCAACGAUUUACCACCUCCGUUUGUCCAUCCGUCUGUAAGUGGUAGGCCGUACUAUGUUUAAGUGUUGUUCCUUGUGCUUUGAAGAGGGCAGUCCAGAACAUACUCAUGAAAACCCGAUCUCUGUCAGAAAUGAUAGAUUUUGGUACCCCAUGCAAACGAACAAUCUCCCUGACAAACACAUCUGCUACUGCUUGAGCUGUGAACGGAUGUUUCAUCCCAAUAAAGUGGGCAUAUUUACUCAGUCUCAGUCGAUCCACUACCACCAAUAUUGUGUCUAUCCCGCCUGAUUUUGGCAACCCUUCUAUGAAAUCCAUCGAAAUAUCUGACCAAAUCAAAUCUAGAAUGGGGAGUGGCUGCAACAGUCCAAUAGGUGAUAAUGCCUCAUACUUGUUUUGCUGACACGUGGCACAACGAGCCACGUACUCUCGAACAUCCUUCUUCAUUCCAAUCCAGUGCACCUCCCUCGCAACCCGCUUGAACGUCUUUAGAAAGCCAGAAUGUCCCCCCACCUUAGAAUCGUGACAUUUGGCUAGUACCACCGUGACCAAUGAAGAGUGUUUAGGCAAGACCACCCUUCCCUUAUAGCGCAAUAUACCCUCGGUCAACGUGUACCCAGCUUUGAUCACCUGUCCUGACUGUAAGGCGGUCACCAGCCUUCCCAAUUCAACAUCCACUGCUACCUCUUUCUUAACAUCUUCGAGUUGCAGCCCUCGGGGAGCAGAGAGGGUUAAAAAAUUUAGAGUCGGUUUGACUCUUGAGAGGGCAUCUGCUGCUUUAUUUUCAAUGCCUGGCCGGUACUGGAUAUCAAAGUCAUACCCCAACAGCUUGGUAAGCCACUUCUGAUGCUCAUCACUUACUAUGCGCUGCUUAAGAAGGAAUUUCAAGCUCCUCUGGUCUGUCCUUACCACAAAGCGUCUACCCAUUAGGUAAUGACGCCACUUUUGAAUAGCAAACACAAUGGCCAUCAACUCCCGUUCAUAAACUGAUUUGCUUCGGGCGCUCAUCGAUAGCACUCGGCUGAAGUAAGCGAUAGGAUGCUGAUUCUGCAUUAAAACCGCCCCCAGCCCAUGUCCCGAAGCAUCUGUUUCCACUACAAACUCCUGAGAAAAAUCUAGCAAGGCAAGAAUUGGUACCUCAGUCAUGGCCUUCUUUAGCUUGGUAAAGGCUGCCUCAACCUGCUCAUUACAGUUGAACCCACUUGCCUUCAACAAAUCAGUCAAAGGCAAAGCUAUUUUAGCAUAUCCAUUCACAAAACGGUGAUAGUAACCAGUGAGGCUCAAGAAUCCUCGUAAUUCCUUAGUGGUACAGGGUCGAGGCCAUUUCAGCAUUGCUUCAACCUUCUCUGGAUCUGCCGCUACCCCCUCGCUCGAAAUGAUAUGCCCCAAAUACUCAAGUUUUUGUUGGCCCCACAAGCACUUCUUCUCAUUGGCAUACAACUGGUGUUCUUGUAGACACUGAAAAAUGGUUUCCAAGUGGUCACGAUGCUCCUUUAUUGACUUGCUAUAAACCAGAAUGUCGUAAAAAAAAACUAAUACAAACUUUCGCAAAUAUGGCCUGAACACUUCAUUCAUCAAACUCUAAAAAGUUGCUGGAGCAUUUGUCAGCCCAAAAGGCAUAACCAAGAAUUCAUAGUGGCCUUCAUGUGUUCGGAAGGCCGUCUUGGGAAUGUCCUCAGACCUCACCCUUAUCUGAUGUAUCCUGAUUUUAAAUCCAACUUCGAGAAAAUUCGGGCCCCAUGUAACUCAUCUAAAAUUUCAUCAAUCACAGGAAUUGGAAAGCGGUCAGGAACUGUAAUUUUGUUGAGGGCACGAUAAUCAACACAAAACCGCCAACUUCCGUCUUUCUUCUUUACCAGCAAGAUGGGACUAGACAACGGACUGGAACUUGGUUGUAUGAUUUCUGCAGCUAGCAUCUCCCUCACUAACCUCUCAAUUUCAUUUUUUUGGAAAUGAGGGUAACGAUACGGUCUGACAUUCACAGGCGCAGACCCCGACUGUAAAACAAUCGAAUGAUCCCGUCCUCGAAACGGUGGGAGUCCACCAGUCCAUUGGAACAUCCCUAAAUAUCCUCGUAGCACGUCAGUGAUCACACUAGGAGCUGUGGGAGGUGCUUUUUCCUUCUCUACUCCCAUGCUACCAAGUUCCAACAACACCCCCGGCUUCUCCUCCUUGAACGCCUUAAUCAUACUUUUCAGCGACACUUGUGAUUUAAUGAGACUAGAAUUCCCUUGCAGUAAGAUGUUUCUUCCCUUCCACUUAAAUUGCAUUGUUAAAGCUCCCCAGUUCACUUGCAUUUUACCCAAGCUUCCCAGCCACUUCAUCCCCAAAAUGACGUCAGUACAACCCAGAUCUAGUGGAAGGAAAUCAUCUACUACUUCGAUGCCAUCCAGCGAAACAACAACCCCCUUACAUACCCCACCGCUUCGAACUGCCAGGCCCGUCCCCAUCAGCACACUGUAAUCGGCCGUACCAGAAGUUGGAAGCUUAAGUCGGUUCGCUAACUCGGCUGAAAUGAAAUUGUGGGUGGCUCCACAGUCGAUAAGCACAACUACUGACUAACCCAGAACUAACCCUUUUAGCUUCAUAGUCUUGGGAGUGGUUAGGCCAACCACUGAAUUAAGGGACAGCUCAACCAUGUCACCCACCACCUCCUCUUCAUUAACAUCUGUCAGCUCCGAUGAUUCCUCCCUCUCGCCUUCUUCCUGUACUACCAGCACCUGCAACUCUUUAUCCUGGCAGCGAUGACCGGGGCUGUACUUCUCAUCGCAGCGGUAACAUAAGCCCUUCUCUCUUUUUACCUGUAGCUCAUCAUUAGUAAGCCUUUUAAAAGGCGGUAUCACACUCGUUGCAGCAGGGAGCUGCGAUCCGAUAGCGUGAGCACUUUUGAAAGUCGCCUGCGCUGAAGUCACGCUGCUGGGUUGUGUUUGAUAUGAAGAGAAACGUGGGCUGGCACUUAUGGGUGGACUGGGGGAAUUAAAUUUAGUCCUAUUUGGGCUAAAACCCAACUGGGCCUGUUUAAGGAAUUCAUUCCUAUCCUCCACACGUUGGGCCAACUCCAUUAUGUGGCCCAACCUUUGGGCUUAAGCAUCCUUAUUUCAGCCCGGAUUACUGCCUUUAGCCCAUUAACGAAAUUCCCCUCCAAAACCUCUUCUGGAACCAUCGUCAAUGGAGCAGCCAAAAUCUCAAAUUCCCGCUAGUAUUCUCUCACCGACGCUUCUUGCUUCAACGCCAGAAAUUUUUCCAAGUUCGUUCCCUCCUGCAACGGGCGGAAGCGCUCUAGUAUGAGCUGCUUUAGUUCUCCCCAACUCCUAACUGGCCUCCUGCUGUCUUCCCACUAAAACCAAGCUAGAGCUUCAUCCUCAAAACACACUGCGGCUGCUUCGAUUUUCUCUCCAUUCGAAAGUUGAUUCAUGUUAAAAUACCGUUCAGCUCUGAAAAUCCAACCAUCGGGAUUAUCACCAUCAAAAAUUGGUAACUCCAAUUUCCGACCUCGUGUUUUCCCCUUCCACUGAUCGCUGACCCUAUUUUUGCCUUCGAAUUUUACUUCCUCAGCCACGGACUUCUGUGCCUCUUCUGAAAUUCCUGAUGAACCCAUCGAAUUUUCCAGUAUGACCUUCUCCUCCCUCGUGCCCUCACACGCAUCCCACUUCCUCAUCAUAGCCUCAAGUUUUUCCCGCACUUCCUCCAUGUCCCUCUGCAAUUCCAAUUUCACAUUACCCAUCCCUUCCUAUAGUUCUCCUUGAAUUCGUUCGAUUCUUGCUUCUAAUGCCAUUACCCGAUCUGUGAGUGUCAUUUUCCCAGGAUGUAUGCUCUGAUACCAAUUUGAUAGGUAUCUGGACUGAUCUGCAGAUUCCAAUAGCUGCUAAGUUGAAUCCCGAAUUCGUGCUCAACCUGUUCACACCAAAGGGAGUGAUUAUUACCAACCUCUGGCUAUAGGAGACAGAAGAUAAAUAUGUUCUCAGGCCUGAAAUCUGAAUAAAAUUGAAUGAGAAAUGUAUUUUGAUUUAUUGAAAGCUAUGAAUGAAAUUUGGAACAGCUCCAAGGCUUUCGAGAGGCCUGGACUCUCCCAAUGACUCCACUAUACACGUGAAUGCCCUCCCUUUACUCCCCCCAAUACAUUUAUUCCCUCCCCAAACAUAGACUCUUUCCAAAAUUACCCCUAAUCUACUCACUGACUGAAUACAAAAGACUCGUUUUCCCAAAGUACCCCCAACCACUAACUAACUGAGACUGAAUUAGUUGGUGCGUUGUUUGCCUCCAUCCUGCUCUUUCUUUCUUCUCUCAUAGGUGAGCUUGAUUGGGGGCCUGUCAUUGUACAUAUCCAGCUUCCGACUCAUUUGUCAAUCAAAGUUGACAAUACCUUCACCUGGUUCUGCAUGGCAGUUACAGAAUCAAGCACUUCAUUUUGCAGUCGACCAAAGUCUUCUUCUAUGGGCGCUACUGGAUAUUGUAGGUUGCUCUUAUUUUUUUCUCUUGAUGCCCAGUUGGUUAUGUUUUCCUUGUAGGACUUUAAUUAGUAUUCUAGAUGAUUAUUUUGUUGGCUACUAUUCAUAAGAGAUGUUAGAAUCUCAGGUAAUUGUUACACAUUGUCCUCUUCUUGCCAACUCUUUUCACUAGAUUUAUUUCAAAUAUGAGUUUCCUCUUGAACUAAAUAUCUUGCUAAAACUGUACAUCCAACUUUACCAGGUAAUGUGUCCAUAAAAGUGUUUUCUUCACCUAGUUUAUUAUCUGUUUGUGGUCAUGGAUUUUCUGCAGAAAGUAUACAAGAAUCAUUUUUUUUUUUUAACUAAACUCUUACUCCCAGGCGUUAUUGCUGUACCUUAACACGGGGUUAGCUCUGAGGUAAAAUAUUUUGAGAGUCAAUGGAAGUGAUAUACGUCCAUGGUAAUUGAGGUACCCUUUUGGCCCUUGUCAAUUACUUUUGAAGCGAUGUUCCUUUUAAUUUCCUUAAAAAUAGCUAAUUGCCAAGACAUAUUUCUAGCACAUACAUUCUUGUCCCCAUUGUUAGUUUACUCUGACUAGAGCUGUCUGCUGAAGUUGGUAGACAG
rnacentral:lncRNA from 1 species